AACAAACUUGUUCUGAACCUUUGGAAAUACCUCCUCUUGCAUUGUCUCUUCCAAGUUCAGUUCAGGAAGAGUUGAUGAAGGAUGACUUCAUGUAUGUCCCUCCAUAAGAGGAAACACAACAAACAUCUAAUAAUGACUGCCCUCAAGAAGCUGAAAAGCAGGGUGUUACAGUAUCUCUUACAAGUUCUAUAAUUGAAGACAUAAUGAAAGAUGACUAUGUGUAUGAAGUUUCCAAUGAAGAUCCUGCAAAAGAACAAGAACAACAAGCCCAAGAACCAACGGUGCAACAA